UUAUUUCCUCCGUUAUUGAUAUGCUUAAGUUCAGCGGGUAUUCCUACCUGAUCCGGAGGUCCACCUUUUGAAAAAUUGGGGGGUUUUACGGCCAAGAGUCCCUCCGGAUCCCAGUGCGAGACGUAAAGUUACUACGCAAAGGAGGCUCCGGGAGGGUCCGCCACUACCUUUGAGGGCCUACAUCAGCUGUAGGGCCCCAACACCAAGCAGAGCUUGAGGGUUGAAAUGACGCUCGAACAGGCAUGCCCGCCAGAAUGCUGGCGGGCGCAAUGUGCGUUCAAAGAUUCGAUGAUUCACUGAAUUCUGCAAUUCACAUUACUUAUCGCAUUUCGCUGCGUUCUUCAUCGAUGCCAGAACCAAGAGAUCCGUUGUUAAAAGUUUUGAUUAUUUGCUUGUACCACUCAGAAGAAACGUCGUUAAAUCAGAGUUUGGUUAUCCUCCGGCGGGCGCCGACCCGCCCGGAGGCGGGAGGCCGGGAGGGUCGCGGAGACCCUACCCGCCGAAGCAACAGUUAUAGGUAUGUUCACAAAGGGUUAUAGAGCGUAAACUCAGUAAUGAUCCCUCCGC
rnacentral:misc_RNA from 1 species